AUCAUAUGGUGAGAGCUACUAUGGAACGGAGUGUUGGUUGUAUUGAUAUAUCUAUUUAUUUAUGGCGUUGGUGAUAAUUGUGGUGGUAGGGUUGUGAAGGUGGUGAUGGUAGUAGGCUGAGGGAAGAAGGGGGGGGAGGGAGGGAGGGAGGGGGGUAAUCUAGAAAGGGGGGAGGAAGGGGGAGCAGUGAUGGUGAUGGUGGUAGUGAUGGUGAUUGUGAUGAUUGCUGUGUGGUUAUGAUGGUGGCCAGAACCGUAUUGAUCACACACACACACACACACACACACACACACACACACACACACACACACACACACAGGUAACAGCUAGAAGUGCACCGCCUAAUCUUUGGAGGAUAAUUAAGGUCGUCAGCUAAAAAUAGAACCAUUACAUAACGCUGACCAACUUGUCUUCUUACCAUUUGUUGUUGUUAUUUUUGUUGGUGUUGCUGCUUCUACUGUUAUUGUUAAUGUUGUUGUUGUUGUUAUUACUAUUAUUAUUAUUAUUGUUGUUGACAUCAUGGUUAUUGUUCUGUUUCUUAUUUUAUAGUGCAAAAGAAGUAUAAAAAAAUAUCUUCCUCCUCCUCCUCCUCCUCCUCCUACUACUACUACUACUGCUACUACUACUACUACUACUACUACUACUACAAUUGUUAUAUGCUGCAUUCAACACUUUUUUUUCAGUCCCUCCCCCUUUCUAUAGGCAUUUUACCCUUUGCUUGCCUGGCCCGUUGUAGCCCUUGUGUUCCUUGUGAUCGAAGCUAUGGUCGAUGGGUAGGUACUCUUCGACCGGGUGAGGGCGGUGGAAAGCAGUCAUCAGUGGUAGGGUCUUAAACUAGGGACGACACUUUCAACACUUCCGUUCUCUGGCAGUUCGUCCCUUGGCACACCACACUGUCACUUUCCAUUAUUAUUAUCGUUUUUAUUAUUAUUUAUGUUGUGUUAUAUAUAGCCAAGCAACUUUCUCUAUGACCAUGGCACAAAAAAAUAGCAUCAAAAGAUCAUUACUUACCAUUUUUACUAUUGUUAUUUUUUUUUAUUGCUGCCGUUUCUUUAUAUAGCCACACAGUCAUUCUUUUACGAGCAUGACACACACAAAAAAGUUAACAUCAAGAUCACAGGAAUGAUAUAUGGAUACAGGAGAGGUGGACAGCAGGCUACAGGAAUGAUAUAUGGAUACAGGAGAGGUGGACAGAAGGCUACAGGAGUGAUAUAUGGAUACAGGAGAGGUGGACAGAAGGCUACAGGAAUGAUAUAUGGAUACAGGAGAGGUGGACAGCAGGCUACAGGAAUGAUAUAUGGAUACAGGAGAGGUGGACAGCAGGCUACAGGAAUGAUAUAUGGAUACAGGAGAGGUGGACAGCAGGCUACAGGAAUGAUAUAUGGAUACAGGAGAGGUGGACAGCAGGCUACAGGAAUGAUAUAUGGAUACAGGAGAGGUGGACAGCAGGCUACAGGAAUGAUAUAUGGAUACAGGAGAGGUGGACAGCAGGCUACAGGAAUGAUAUAUGGAUACAGGAGAGGUGGACAGCAGGCUACAGGAAUGAUAUAUGGAUACAG